rnacentral:rRNA from 1 species
UAAGCGGAGGAGAAGAAACUAACCAGGAUUUCCCUAGUAACGGCGAGCGAACCGGAAAGAGCCCAGCUUGAAAAUCGUGGUGCCUCGCACCUCGAAUUGUAGUCUGGAGAAGGUCCCUCUGCGACGCGCCGGACCCAAGUUCCCUGGAAAGGGACGUCAUCGAGGGUGACAACCCCGUCCGCGCCCGGAACGCGUCGCUCCACGAGGACCUGUCUGCGAGUCGGGCUGUUUGGGAAUGCAGCCCUAAGCGGGAGGUAAAUUCCUUCCAAGGCUAAAUAUGGGCAAGAGACCGAUAGCGAACAAGUACCGCGAGGGAAAGAUGAAAAGGACUUUGAAAAGAGAGUUAAAAAGUGCUUGAAAUUGCUGGGAGGGAAGCGAAUGGAAGCUGCGGGUGCGCCCCGGUUGGAUGUGGAACGGCUUCGGCUGGUCCGCCGCUCAACGCGGGGCGCUGGUCAGCGUGGGCCACGGCGCCGGGACAAGAGCGGGGAUUCGCUUCCCGCCUAUGCCGGUGCGGUGGCCGAGGCACGAAGCGCGCGCCGCAAGGCGUGGGUUCGCCCAACUGCGCGCUCGGGACGCUGGCGUAUUGAGCUCUUCAUCCGACCCGUCUUGAAACACGGACCAAGGAGUCUAACAUGUAUGCGAGCCGGUGGGCGGCAAACCCAUUGAGGCGCAAGUAAACUGACAGGUGGGACCCCGACCGUGAGGGAGGGAGCACCAUCGACCGACCGUGAUCUUCUGUGAAAGGUUUGAGUGUGAGCAUACCUGUUGGGACCCGAAAGAUGGUGAACUAUGCCUGAGCAGGGCGAAGCCAGAGGAAACUCUGGUGGAGGCUCGUAGCGAUACUGACGUGCAAAUCGUUCGUCAGACUUGGGUAUAGGGGCGAAAGACUAAUCGAACCAUCUAGUAGCUGGUUCCCUCCGAAGUUUCCCUCAGGAUAGCUGGAGCUCGUGUACAAGUUUUAUCAGGUAAAGCGAAUGAUUAGAGGCAUCGGGGGUGUAACACCCUCGACCUAUUCUCAAACUUUAAAUAGGUAAGCCGCCGGGGUUGCUUGGUUGAACCCCGGCACAGAAUGAGAGCUCCAAGUGGGCCAU